rnacentral:tRNA from 1 species
ACUUAAAAUCCGUCGAUUUUCAAA